rnacentral:lncRNA from 1 species
AACACGAUCAACGAAGAGUUCUCAUAUUCAUGUCACAUGAGAACUCAUGGUUGGGAUAAUGCAAAAUAGUCCUUUGACCUGAGGCAUCACGUUUGUCUUAUGGUUAAGUCCUUGAUCUUUGAUUAUGUCAAAGUCAUCCCAUCCACGGGUGUCCAUGGCAUCGUUGGGGUUAAGCCACUUAGCUAUGGAGGCAAGUGAAUGCUCAACAAGGG